ensembl:lncRNA
UUUUGAUGCAUUGUUAACAGCGGGUGAUGAGUUUUCUCUUCUCCUCUCCUUUACUAGUUUCAGGUCUGGUGUUCUUUGUGGUGAUCGUGGUGCUGCUGUCCAUAUACCGGAAAGAACCUCACUGCUGCAAGGACACCCAUGGAGACAUGGAUGCCCCUCCUCAGUACAGCAGCAGACAGACACUGGUGGGAAACCCCUGUCUGGAACAGACUCACGACAAUACACACUCACAGUCAGGGCAGCUGUUCCUUAUCGGCCUGCCCUCCAGCUACCGCCUGCCCUCCCUGGAGGCGCCCCUCCCCAGGCUGCCCUCCUACGAGAGUGUCAGGAAGAAGGACCGCCAGAGACAGAUACACAUGAUGAUCGCUGACCGUUUCGGCCUCAACGGCUCCAUGCUGACUGAGCCCCCUCCAACGUAUGAGGAGAGCAUCCGCCACUCCAUUGAAGUGCCCUUUGACAUUCUGAGGUCUGUAAUAGACACCCCUCAUCCCCAGAACAUUUACCCUCCGCACACUGGCACAGACCUUACCACUCAGUCAGAGGUAACCACUCAGUGCCCAUCCACUCAGGAUGCCAACAGUGCCACCCUACCAGUCUGAAUCCUCAGACUCGCUACUGACACACGAUGACAAGGACAACUGGAGUAUUGAUGCUUUUUAUCCACCUUGAUGUGCCAAACUGGUCAGAGGAUAACAGACAGGGGAAAUGCACACAUUCUCCAUAGGUUGAAUCAGACCCAGCAGCCAAUGGGUUGACUGUACUGUAGGAACAUCCUGCAGUGACAGUAUGCUGGAAGAUAGUGAAAUUCUACAUUGUGGGUUACUCCAUACUGACAAACUUGAAUGUCUAAACACCUCUUGUCAGUUGUGAUUUUAAACUGGAGCCUAAAUAAGACUGAUGAACUGGGAAGACUUGGAUUGCCAUUCUUCAGUGAAAAGGGAAACCGUCCUGUAGAUGACCAAUACCAUGACUAUAUGUGUCUGAGGUGGCAGGUUCUAAUGCCAAAGUUAACUGUAAGAGGAGACAGGCCAGGUAGAAAGACACUCCAUGACAAAUGUGCUGCUGAAAAACAAAGACCAUUUUGCUGUGAACAGAAAAAGCACCAAAAAGGAUGAACGAUCUUUAGAUUUAAAAAAAAUGUUUCUCAUAUUUUCUACAUUUGAUCAUUUUAUGGAUUAAAGUAAUCUGGAUGAUUGUUUUUUGGGGAACUGUGUUGUAGCGAGUCGUUUUCUGAGUAAAACCACUCUCCUCUUUUAGUGCAAUGUCUGAGCCAAAAACGUAUAAGCGUGAGUUGUAAAAUGCUCCUAUGUCCUACCCUGCUGAACUUGGGUUGUACAGUUGAGCCAGCUACAAUUUGUGUGUUAGUCUUGGAACCUGUGAAGAGUGAGUCAACAACACCAAUCAUGUGUUGGCUCUGGUAACGGGUCUUAAAAGCCCAAUGCAGCCGUUUUUUUUAUAUCAAAUCAUUUAUGGGUAACAAUAAUGUACCUUACUGUAAUGGUUUUCCAUUAAAAUGAUCUAAAUUGUUUUUUUUGUUGCUUUUAAGCGUUAAACGUUUUAACAAGCAAUAAUUGUGGUCUGAGUGGGGAGGAGAAAAGGGAAAACUAGUUGUUAUUGUUAGAGAGGUUUGGAACUCUUUAUUAUUAAUCUAUUAACUCAUUUACCACCUGGUGAUGUCACCAGGCAAGACAAAACUCCACCCAUGCAAAACCUGCUGGGUAGAAGGUCCUUUGUAGAAUGUAUUUUCAACCAGGAAAUAAUACUGAUCAAAUCUUGUUAGUUUCAUCAGCUGUUGUACAAUAUGAUGCAAAACACAAACUGAAUUUUUACUGCACGGGGCCUUUAAGAUACAAUUCAGCAUUGGGAUUGUGGGAAGCGGUAAGGAGCUAGCUUUGUUUAUUCAAGACCUCUGUGAACAGUGAAUGAGAAUAGUUGUGUAAAAAGCUUAUUUUUUGUUGUUGAUUAACUGGGCUGCCUGUUUUAACAGUCCCUGCACAAGCUUGAGAAGAAACCAGUAUGAAUGACAAGAAAAAGUAUGUAAUAUUUCCCUCACAUAAUGUCUGAAACAAAAGUAUGUAAUAUUUCCCUCACAUCAUGUCUGAAACAAAAGUAUGUAAUAUUUCCCUCACAUAAUGUCUGAAACAAAAGUAUGUAAUAUUUCCCUCACAUAAUGUCUGAAACAAAAGUAUGUAAUAUUUCCCUCACAUAAUGUCUGAAACAAAAGUAUGUAAUAUUUCCCUCACAUCAUGUCUGAAACAAAAGUAUGAGGUUUCAACAGCCGUUAGCAAGUUCUAUUCAAAAGACAUAAAUUCCUGUCUGUCACGUAAACUAAUUGAGAUGGUGGUGGCUUCUAGAUAAAGACAUGUUUAACAUAGAGCCUGUGUGCGGUCUCUGUCUGGCCUUAAUGUCCACUAGUGUCCUUUUCACCUCAUUUAACACAUGAUUUACUAAACAAAAGGCACAUCUCAAUAGGUGGUCCAGGUAUGACAUGAACAAGCAGGGGGAGGGGCAGGUGGUACUUUCCUCUUUUGCUCUCCAUUGUUCCUCAAACAAGGAGGAGGCUGAUGACAUCACAUCUGACCAUCUCCUUUUAUUUUAUUUAUUUAACCUUUAUUUAACUAGGCAAGUCCGUUAAGAACAAAUUCUUAUUUACAAUAACGGCCUAGGAACAGUGGGUUAACUGCCUUGUUCAGGGGCAGAACGACAGAUUUUUACCUUGUCAGCUCGGGGAUUCGAUCUAGCAACCUUUCGGUUACUGGCCCAACGCUCUAACUACUAGGCUACCUGCCGCCCCAAACCUGCCACUCCAAAAUCCUUGAAGUUAACUUAAAGUUUGCGGUUGUCUCUAAAACACUAUUUUACUUAAAACAUAUUUUUUUUAACCCUUUAGUGUAUGUAUUUAUACUUGGGAUAUUUGAACAGGAAAAGUAAAACAAAAUCACUGAGGACGUCUAACUUUCACUUUCCGAAUCCUCUAAACUGCACUUUACAUUGGUGGGAGCAGUGUUUUUGUGCAUUUUGAAUGACCCUGGAACCUAACGAUUAUACAAGUGAAUUAAUGACCUGUAAGUUUACUUUGAGCCCACCACCAAGUUAUAUUUGCCCUUACACACACAUUGAACAUAUGUAUGUAAAUAAUAAACUGUUAUUAAAUCAAAUUGUAUUAGCCACAUUCACCGAAUACAACAGUAGACCUUACAGUGAAAUGCUUACUUACGAGCCCCUAACCAACAAUGCAGUUGGAUAUACAGAUAAGAUUACGGAUAAGAAUAAGAAAUAAAAGUAACAAGUAAUUCAAGAGCAACAGUAAAAUGACAAUAGCGAGACUAUAUACAGGGGGGUAUUUUAUGUUUUCUUAAUCAUGUCAAUUGUUACUUGCAAUGGGUGAAUUGUUUUUAAAAGUCAUAAUGACAGUCUAAGAAGGAAAAUGGAUGCAUCUGUUUCUGUAUUAAUGAACAUAUGUUACCUCUGUGCCUUGUCAAAGUCCUUCUCCAUCCAUUGUCACUCAAAAGCUUGACCUCUGACAUCUGGUGGCCAGCUAUAGAAUUGCAGUCUUGAAGAUUACACCAUAUUAACUGAAAACGGAACCAACCCACCCCAUACUUUUGAGACAAUACUCUCACAUACACAUAAUGAUGUCACAGUCAUGAAGUGUCCACAAGGGUUCCAUUGUCCUGCUGUUGGGUGUCUAAUGAGAGAGAGAGAACAAAAAGAGGUCAUUGAGCUCCUCACAGUUGGGCAGCACAGCUGGAAACAGCCUAAGGGCAGAAUGAGAAGACACUACAGGAUGAACAACUUCCAUCACCGUCUUCUGACUGACAGACACAAAGUGCAACUGUUUGGUAAUCCCCUUGAGCUCUUGUCCUAAAAGAUGAGCCCCAUAUAGUUAAUGAGGUCUUAUGGUAGUUUGAUCCCUUAAAACACAGACCACAAAAAGAGGUGACAUGGGGUGCUCUCUUCAUCAUUGACAUCUCAACAGCUAAUUAAGCAUACAGAUUUGGCAUUUAGGGGAUUAGCACAUGCUAUAUUGAAAGACAGGCUUUGUUAAAUUUACAAUUACUUUCUGAUAACCCUUCAGAUUUCAAUGAAGGAAAGCAAAUAGCAGUGGAUUUUUUCUUCAAUAAAUGUCCUAAUCUUUGUAGCCCUUUACACUCGUACCUGUAUAUGGAUUGAAAAUGACAGAUUUGGGCACUAAUAAGUGCCUAAAUUGGAAUGCAGUUACUGUACAGUAACAUGCUAUACAUGACAUCAGAGCUCUGGCUCUGAACUUCACAGUGCUGUAUGGGUUUUGACUGACAGCUGUACUGAACUUGAGCAACACGAACAUGAAUAUUUUCUGUGCGCACCAAGAUUACAAUCCAUUUCUCUGAAUUGUCUUGUGAAAGCCUAACACUGUAAGAUGUUAUCUUAGAACUUAGUUAGUCAUGUAGGCAAUAGAACAAGCUUUCAAAUCAUGCCCACCUGACCCAGAUUGCGAUUUAUAAUGGACCAUUUUUGGAUUGCGUAAACAACAAUAGUAAUUGUGUGAUGGCAGGAAUGCAGGGUUGUGUUCCAAACGAAACAACUACAAGUGUGCUUGCUCUAGUUCCUCAACAGCACAGCUAGGAGAGCUAAACAAAAUCCUUCUGGUUGAAGACUCUUCUUUGACUCAUAAAAGUGCAUUGAAAAUGCUUAGGAACUGUGCACACAUUGGAGAGGUGUGUGGCCACUUAGUCCUCUCGAACCUACUCACUCAGACCCUUGUCAUUUUGGGGGGUCUUAUGUUACACCUGCCCCAUAUUCUCCAGGAA